rnacentral:sRNA from 2 species
UUUUAGCCCCGAUUGCAGUGGCAUCCUUUUUUGGUGAUGGAGCCGCGGCGGAAUCACCAAAAAAGAUAGAACGGAAAGCGGGACUGGAU